rnacentral:misc_RNA from 1 species
UUUUUCUCAUUCUGUCCAGCCGGACUAAGGAUCGGGCGCCAUGCUUUGAAUCAUCGGCGCUUUGAAUGAACCGCUCGCGCGAUUCGGUAGAGUUUAAAGUCCCUAUGCAUUUUCAGGGAGAAACCGACGCAAAGGUUCAGCUGGAUUCAGACGAGCGCGCAAGUUGACUGCACAGAAGCGACGAGCCAACGCUGUCCACCUUUCACCGCAGUGCGCGGCGUUCAGAAUGUCGGCAAAGCAGAAGUCUCGGUACGAGACGCUGCCCUACCGAUGCCUCACGUGGAUUUGCUCCAAGCUGGACAUCCUCUCUCCACAAAACUAUGCCAUGAGUGAAUUAGCUAGCACACUUGCUGUGUUCGUGGAAUGGUCUUUUGGAAGCUGGCAGAAGUUGAAGCACUUCAGAAUGCCGUCGACGUCAACCUCGUCUACUUCCCUGAGGCCGCCCUCUGUCGACUUUAGCACUGUCAAUCGACUACAGUCACCUGUGCCCAGGAGGGAAGGGGUCAUGCUCAGGUGCUACCGGAGCAACUCCGGCCUGAAGGGGAGCUGCCUGCGGCCCCUGGGGCCUUGCGGGUCGCGCGCAAGCAGUGACACGGCCAGCCGCCAGUGCAGCCCCAUCCCCGAGAGCGUGGAGAGUGACAUCUCGCUUCUCAAGGAGGAAGUGGCAUCCCUCAAGAAGCAGUUCGAGGAGUUGGUCGUCUCACAGAAAGAUGCUGAGGUGCGCAGGAGCUCCUCAGCCGUGUAUGCUACCCCUGGAGCUGCUCUGCCACCACCACCGCCACCCUUACCAUCGCUGCCACCUCCUCCGCCCCCGCCACCACCACCUCCAGGCUUUUUUGCGCCCGCUCAAAAGCUUGUUGUCCGCAAGCAACGCCCCCGGGACCCAUCGACGGCGCAGGCUGAGAAGUCUCACGAGGCAAUGCUUGCAGAGGUCCUCAAGGGGCUCGGAACGGUCAAGCUAAAGAAAGUUGAAAAGUCGCCAAGCGGCACUCCUUUGCGGAAGGGCAUCACAGAAUCGGAAUCGUCCACAGCUACAGAUCCAGCCGGCAUGCUCGCUAACGCACUGAAGAAGCGCUUCAUGCACAUCCAUCCACCAGACAGCUCGGACGACUCGGCUGCCGAGGCAUGGAGUCCCUCCUCUCCAGACGUGCAGGUCAAGCGCAGGGCACCCGUAAAAAGGCGGCUCUCCGGCCGUCGUAACCUGGAAAUGUCCACCGUGCUAUCGCCCAUGCAAGAAGUGGGCGCGUGAAACUACCAGGGCUUUCAGCUAAAGGCUGCAUGUGGAGAGUGCUGGCUGUGAUCACGGCCAUCGUUUUGCUGUGCAGCCUAUCGCAUGUCAUGAAGACUGAUCACAGCCCAGCUGUACACAAGUCAUGGUUGUUGAAGGGGAUAUGACUUGGUCUUAGUCAUUUUGUAUAGCAAGACGCAUGGAGUUUGUGUGCUUUCACCAGCAUAGAGCUACAGCAUUCAUCGGAAUUGUGUUCUUGAUCCCAUGAGCAGCAGUGAGUGUACUGUGCCUUU